rnacentral:rRNA from 1 species
CAAGAUGAGAUAUCCCAAUAAGUAAGACCCCUUAGAGAGUAUGAGGUAGAUAGGCUGGAGGUGGAAGUGCAGUAAUGUAUGGAGCUGACCAGUACUAAUCGGUCGAGGGCUUAUCCUGA